rnacentral:rRNA from 1 species
CCUACGGGUGGCAGCAGUAAGGAAUAUUGGGCAAUGGACGCAAGUCUGACCCAGCCAUGCCGCGUGAAGGAUGAAGGUCCUCUGGAUUGUAAACUUCUUUUAUCUGGGGCGAAAAUCACCUUUUCUAGGGUGCUUGACAGUACCAGAUGAAUAAGCACCGGCUAACUCCGUGCCAGCAGCCGCGGUAAUACGGAGGGUGCAAGCGUUAUCCGGAUUCACUGGGUUUAAAGGGUGCGUAGGCGGGCAAUUAAGUCAGUGGUGAAAUCUUCGAGCUUAACUCGGAAACUGCCGUUGAUACUAUUUGUCUUGAAUACCGUGGAGGUGAGCGGAAUAUGUCAUGUAGCGGUGAAAUGCUUAGAUAUGACAUAGAACACCAAUUGCGAAGGCAGCUCGCUACACGGUCAUUGACGCUGAGGCACGAAAGCGUGGGGAUCAAACAGGAUUAGAUACCCCUGUAGUC